rnacentral:piRNA from 1 species
CGGCACUUGCUCUGUAGACCAGG